UAGGGAAUCUUCCACAAUGGACGCAAGUCUGAUGGAGCAACGCCGCGUGAGUGAAGAAGGUUUUCGAACCGUAAAGCUCUGUUGUUGGUGAAGAAGGAUAGAGGUAGUAACUGGCCUUUAUUUGACGGUAAUCAACCAGAAAGUCACGGCUAACUACGUGCCAGCAGCCGCGGUAAUACGUAGGUGGCAAGCGUUGUCCGGAUUUAUUGGGCGUAAAGCGAGCGCAGGCGGAAGAAUAAGUCUGAUGUGAAAGCCCUCGGCUUAACCGAGGAAUUGCAUCGGAAACUGUUUUCUUGAGUGCAGAAGAGGAGAGUAGAACUCCAUGUGUAGCGGUGGAAUGCGUAGAUAUAUGGAAGAAUACCAGUGGCGAAGGCGGCUCUCUGGUCUGCAACUGACGCUGAGGCUCGAAAGCAUGGGUAGCGAACAGGAUUAGAUACCCUGGUAGUCCAUGCCGUAAACGAUGAGUGCUAAGUGUUGGGAGGCUUCCGCCUCUCAGUGCUGCAGCUAACGCAUUAAGCACUCCGCCUGGGGGAGUACGACCGCAAGGUUGAAAC
rnacentral:rRNA from 1 species